GAUAAACGCUGGCGGCGUGCCUAAUACAUGCAAGUCGAGCGAACAGACGAGGAGCUUGCUCCUCUGACGUUAGCGGCGGACGGGUGAGUAACACGUGGAUAACCUACCUAUAAGACUGGGAUAACUUCGGGAAACCGGAGCUAAUACCGGAUAAUAUAUUGAACCGCAUGGUUCAAUAGUGAAAGACGGUUUUGCUGUCACUUAUAGAUGGAUCCGCGCCGCAUUAGCUAGUUGGUAAGGUAACGGCUUACCAAGGCAACGAUGCGUAGCCGACCUGAGAGGGUGAUCGGCCACACUGGAACUGAGACACGGUCCAGACUCCUACGGGAGGCAGCAGUAGGGAAUCUUCCGCAAUGGGCGAAAGCCUGACGGAGCAACGCCGCGUGAGUGAUGAAGGUCUUCGGAUCGUAAAACUCUGUUAUUAGGGAAGAACAAAUGUGUAAGUAACUAUGCACGUCUUGACGGUACCUAAUCAGAAAGCCACGGCGAACUACGU
rnacentral:rRNA from 1 species